GAUGAACGCUGACAGAAUGCUUAACACAUGCAAGUCGAUGGGGAAGUGGUGCUUGCACCAUGGCAACCAUGGCGGACGGGUGAGUAACGCGUAAGGGACUUACCUGCAGGACUGGGAUAACAGGGGGGAAACUCCUGACAAGACCGGAUAAUGUCAUGGAGCUGCAUGGCUUUAUGAUGAAAGGAGACGCCUGCGGAGAGCCUUGCGUCCUAUUAGCUAGUUGGUGAGGUAAUGGCUCACCAAGGCGAAGAUAGGUAGCCGGCCUGAGAGGGUGGACGGCCACAGGGGGACUGAGAUACGGCCCUUACUCCUACGGGAGGCAGCAGUGGGGAAUAUUGGACAAUGGGGGCAACCCUGAUCCAGCAAUUCUGUGUGCACGAAGAAGGUUUUCGGAUUGUAAAGUGCUUUCAGCAGGGAAGAAGUAAGUGACGGUACCUGCAGAAGAAGCGACGGCUAAAUACGUG
rnacentral:rRNA from 1 species